CAGGUGAUUCAUAACCUCAGUCCUUCCAGAGAAAUACAGAAUCCUAGAGGCUAAAAGGUUUCUCUCCUUUAGUUCAACACAGAGUGACAAGUACCCGUCAACCCAGAUGCACUGUGGGAUUACAAAACCUACACAUGCCCCUGUUGACAUGUGUCAAUCAAGGUUAAUGUUGGUUUGAGGAGUGCCACCUUUCUUCUGCUAUCUCAUACAAUUUUGUACAAAAGGAAGUUUUGCUACCCUGUAGAACUAAGGACCGUCACAAACCUAUCUACCUUCUCACUACAAGUGCAAGUCCACUUCUUUGCCCUGCAUCCGCUAACAUAAAUACAUAGCAACAGGAGGUUUCUGUAACUGAAGCAGAGCUGUGGAAAUCUACAGUCAAGUGCUUGAAGUAUAACUCAAACAAACACGAUUAGUGAUAUGAAAUGCACAAUUUAUGUUACAAAUGUGAUCCACUGAGCCAGCAGAGAAACAUUAAUUACUGCUAUAAUACAGGAGGUGGAGGCGGAGAGAUAAUAUUAGCUUUU